UUUUUUUUUUCAUUCGGGAAAUAUUUUCCAAAAAAUCGCCAAUUUGAAGUAAAUUCUAAAUGAUCGAUUAAUCGAUAUUUCCGAUAGUUUAGUACCUCUUUUUUAACAGACAGGCAAGUUAAUAUAUUUUCAAAUUAGUAUAUUUAAAAAAAGUUUGAGACUGCAAUGAAAGAUUUUACCCGACAGAUCAAAAUUAACCGUUGGAUGGCUGCCGGAAUCAAUUGCGCUGAAUAAAACCUCAGAUAAAUCUUCAGACUGUCGGCUUACUGCAAUUUUAAAUCUGCCAUAAGGCAUGAUAUGUUCAUAUUAAAAUACUUCCCGAAUUGGUUUCCGUGGAAUAUUGCGGGUGUGACAGUCCUUGGUCGGAUAAAAAACUGGGUAAUUUCGGAUUUGGAUUUUAGUCUCCUCUUACGACAAACAUGCCUUAUUACGGUUAAUUCUUUAGCUCCUAACCACAGACUUACUACUUACUUACCACGCUUGCAAACGUUUAAUGAAUAUCAUUUUGGAUGAGAUGGCUACUGAUUUUCACUAAAAACUUUUUUUCAUGCUGCACAUACUGGAAACUCUACGAACUCUGUAAAGGGCGAGAUGCAAUGGCAUUGGCUUGGCUUAACGAUAGAGUCAGUUUUUGCUCAUGUGGUAUCGAGUGGUAUAUAAAACGGUUGAAGGUCUGGUGGCAUAACCCACUGACAUCGUAAGCGUGUAAAAUGAGCGUUACAGUGCGUCAUACAGGAAAUGUUGCGAGGCAGGCAUGAGCGAAACGUAAGUGCACGUCCUUAUCAAGACAGGAAACGCCACGAUGGGUCAAUUUACCGAAUGAAAGGCCUAAAUAUGGUCACGUUCUUUAUGAACAGUCCCUAUGGACACUACUCAGAUAUCUAAUAGCUACGUAGUUCAGGGGCUUAUAACUAGGCUAAUGGAAGUCUCAAAUCGUCUUAAAGCGCUCUUACGCAAAGUUUUAUAUAACCUCUCUAACAUUACAAAUGACCAACUGGUUUAUGAAUAUGUGCAGCGUAACCUUAUCUAACCUCAACACUAGACUGACACAAUUUACAUAUUUUAAACCUUUUACCCCCGACUUUCCUUAAACAUAAUUAAUUUAUUUAUGUCAAUAAAAAUCGGAGACUGCGUGUGGGUUUAAAUACCAGAAGGAUGAAUUGUAUAUGUACCUCCUAUAAGGAUUUUAUGCCAAUCAGCCUUUUCUUUAUUUCGCUUCAAAGGACUGUACUUCCUGAAACAACGUCAGCUCUUGUUAAAUGAUAUGCUAUUGGCUAAGGCAGUAAGUUGAUGUCCUUUAGCUGGCACGGAUCUAACAUUUUGGCGUGGUGUUUACACAGUUUCUAUGUUAGCGUUAUUGGUAAGCGGAGAUCUUGAUGUGCACUGCUGUAUUAGUAGUUGGUGUAGCGGUUAGCAAAAAAAGGACGCGAUACUAAUCUAAGUCAUCGAGGUAAUCUAAUUUGAGAUACCGCAAACGGGCUGUUACGACAGGCACAGACCAAAGGGUAAGCAGAGGUUAGAUGGGUUGGUUUAGGUGGGAUGCAAAGAGUUAUUUAGUGUCUUGCAGGGUUUGAUUUAAUGCAGGACAUACAUAUGUAUGUACGUUUGGUAUGUCGGGGUCAAGUCUGGAUAAAUAAGAAUUAAGUCGACCACAAUAUCCAGAACUUAGUUGUUCCAGUAUAACUCGGAUCUCUCGAGACAGCUCGAGCGUUAAAUGAAGGCCUUACGAAAUACUGUUCACAAACAGUGAAAAGUCUUUCGAAAACCGUUUAUAGUGUUCUUCGGUUGAAAAUGGAUACAAACUAUUUUGUAGUCAGAGUUUUCGUGGAUUUUAGAUCAAUGGAUGUUCUUGACAAUAGUAAGAAUAUUAUGGAGUUCUGAUUUGUUGUUGCUUUAGCUUCUUAAUCGUAGAGGAAGGGCAGAAUCUCCCUACUAUCAGAGUGGGCGUAGAACCUCUCAACAUUAAGUCAAGUGGGGAACAGUUACUCACCACAACCCUCCGAGAAAGAAAAUUCGUUCUCACCGCCUUUAGAUACAGGUUCGUAAAGGCGGAGAGCAGAGAGUUAGUACGCUCGCACUAAGGACUAGGUAAUGCGUCACUUAUUUUUUGUUAAUAGAGCAGUCAGCUCUGUACUCCUAUAUCUCUUCUCUAGUCCUCUCUGUACGCGCAAACGUGUGGUGCGCUGUUUAAUUUGAAGAAGAUUAUGUAUUAUGUACAUGUGUAGCGUUGUUGCUGCGUUACGUACAUUACUGUGGGCCGAUGUGCUGAUUUACCGUUAUGUUGUUACGGUGAUGCGUGGAUGUGAAAUUGUAUUAUAUUAUAUGUUGAUGUGAUAAACUUUAUUUGCUAAUAAAUAAUUUAAAAACGAAUUAUAAGCACAUUAGAUCUUGCUGAUAUGUUAAUAUGUAUAUGUUAUGACUUCGUUUUUUAUUUAGAGUAU